rnacentral:rRNA from 1 species
GACGAACGCUGGCGGCGUGCUUAACACAUGCAAGUCGAACGAACAGCGAUGGAAGCCUGCUUCUUUCACACGGAGUGGCGAGCGGGUGAGUAACGCGCAAUCAACCCGCCCUUCAGAGUGGGACAACAGAGGCAAACGACAGUUCUAACCGCAUACGAUCUAAACUCGGCAUUGAUGCAAGAAGGAAGGGGGGCUCUAUUUAUAGCCUAUCACUGAAGGCGGGGUGCGCGUCUGAUUAGCUAGGUGAAGGGGGAACGACGCACCAAAGGGAUAAUCAGUAGCCGGGCUGAGAGAGUGAGCGGCGACAUUGGGACUGAGACACGGCCCAGACUCCUACGGGAGGCGGCAGUGGAGAAACUUCCGCGAUGGAGGAGAGUCUGACGGGGAGACGCCGCGUGAGUGAGGAGGGCCUCCGGGUUGUGAAGAGCUGUUUUGCGGGAGGAGAACACUUCAUGCGAAAAGUUAGAAGGAUUGACGGUAACGGAACAAGAAGCCACGGCUAACCACGUG